rnacentral:lncRNA from 1 species
AGAUGUUAUAAAUUACAUUUCAUGGUUUAGGUCAUAGACUCGAAAGUUCUAUCAUUAAAAUUGACUCAGUAAUAUAAGAGCUCGAAUACUAUCGGCAGAGUUUCAUAGUUAGUUAAUUCAGAUUCGGCAAAAAUUCAGUACGGGUAUAAUACGCAUAAAAUUCGUUUUCUAAUUUUUAAAUUCGUUGAAAAAUUCGGCUUAGAAAAUGGAUUCGGUAUAAAAUAUAAAAUAUAAGAUAUAAAAUAUAAGAUAAUUUAUAUUUAAACAUAAAAAUUAUAAGUUUUUUUAUUCAGAUUUUUAAUAAUUCGGGAAUAAUUCACGAAUUAUUCGGCUAGCCCAAAAAUUCGCGAAUAAUUUUCUUUCUUUGGAAAAAGUUCGUAAACGAACCGUUUAAUUCGGAUUUUCAAUAAUUCACGAAUAAUUCGCGAAUUAACUAACAAAGCAGAGUUUAUCAUAACUCUAAAUUUUGUAAUAAAGCUAAAAUACUUCUAAAAGUAAAUAUGUAUCAUUUACUUUAAUGUUGUUACGAAUUGAAGAUCGACUCUUUUAAAUUUGAUCUAGACUAUUUGAACUUCUUAAA